rnacentral:rRNA from 2 species
UACGUAGGGUGCGAGCGUUAAUCGGAAUUACUGGGCGUAAAGAGUGCGUAGGCGGUUCGUUAUGUCUGUGGUGAAAGCCCUGGGCUCAACCUAGGAAUGGCCAUGGAAACUGGCGGGCUGGAGUAUGGCAGAGGGGGGUGGAAUUCCGCGUGUAGCAGUGAAAUGCGUAGAGAUGCGGAGGAACACCGAUGGCGAAGGCAGCCCCCUGGGCUAAUACUGACGCUGAGGCACGAAAGCGUGGGGAGCAAACAGG